rnacentral:rRNA from 1 species
ACGGGUGAGUAAUCCGUAGGGAUUUGCCUUAAAGAGGGGGACAACCCGGGGAAACUCGGGCUAAUACCGCAUACUACUCUGAGGAGGAAAGGCUUGGUGAAAGCCAGGCGCUUUAAGAGGAACCUACGGCCGAUUAGCUAGUUGGUGGAGUAAAGGUUUACCAAGGCGACGAUCGGUAGCUGUUCUGAGAGGAAGAUCAGCCACACUGGGACUGAGACACGGCCCAGACUCCUACGGGAGGCAGCAGUGGGGAAUUUUGGACAAUGGGGGCAACCCUGAUCCAGCGAUGCCGCGUGUGUGAAGAAGGCCUUCGGGUUGUAAAGCACUUUAGUUGGGGAAGAAGAAUUGAAGGUGAAUAGCCUUGAAUUUUGACGGUACCCAAAGAAUAAGCACCGGCUAACUCUGUGCCAGCAGCCGCGGUAAUACAGAGGGUGCAAGCGUUAAUCGGAGUUAUUGGGCGUAAAGGGCGCGUAGGCGGUUUGAUAAGUAAGAUUUGAAAUCCCUGGGCUUAACCUGGGAACUGGAUCUUAGACUAUUAGACUGGAGUGCAGUAGAGGGUGGUGGAAUUUCCGGU